rnacentral:snRNA from 1 species
GAGCGGGGUAAAGCCAGAGGA